AUUGAACCCUGGCGGCAGGCCUAACACAUGCAAGUCGAACGGUAACAGGAAGCAGCUUGCUGCUUUGCUGACGAGUGGCGGACGGGUGAGUAAUGUCUGGGAAACUGCCUGAUGGAGGGGGAUAACUACUGGAAACGGUAGCUAAUACCGCAUAACGUCGCAAGACCAAAGAGGGGGACCUUCGGGCCUCUUGCCAUCGGAUGUGCCCAGAUGGGAUUAGCUAGUAGGUGGGGUAACGGCUCACCUAGGCGACGAUCCCUAGCUGGUCUGAGAGGAUGACCAGCCACACUGGAACUGAGACACGGUCCAGACUCCUACGGGAGGCAGCAGUGGGGAAUAUUGCACAAUGGGCGCAAGCCUGAUGCAGCCAUGCCGCGUGUAUGAAGAAGGCCUUCGGGUUGUAAAGUACUUUCAGCGGGGAGGAAGGGAGUAAAGUUAAUACCUUUGCUCAUUGACGUUACCCGCAGAAGAAGCACCGGCUAACUCCGUG
rnacentral:rRNA from 1 species